AUAUCAGUUGCAGGACAACCAUUUGGUGUUUGACGUGGCUUCCUCUAAAUUAAGCUUCAGUUCUUCGCUUUUGCUCCACAAUGCCACGUGUUCUCACUCUUGAAUGAGAUGUGCUUUUGACGCGUUGAAGUUAGCCACGUUCAAGAAUAUGUAGUAGCUUCUAUCAUUUAAUGUUUUGAGGAUAAUUGAAGAAUAAAUGUUUGCUUUGUUGUAAAUGGAAACACACCUUAGUGUUUUCAUGUGUGCCAUUUAGAAGGGAAGGCAUUUUUAUAAGAUUGAUAGAGAACUUCUGUAAGCUGUGGGCAGCAUCUGCUCAAUUCCUGAAGAUGUAGAACU
rnacentral:lncRNA from 1 species